rnacentral:rRNA from 1 species
GUGGGGAAUCUUGCGCAAUGCGCGAAAGCGUGACGCAGCAACGCCGCGUGGGGGAAGACGGCCUUCGGGUUGUAAACCCCUUUCAGGAGGGACGAAGCUCGGACAGUUAAUAGCUGUUCCGCGUGACGGUACCUUCAUAAGAAGCCCCGGCUAACUACGUGCCAGCAGCCGCGGUAAUACGUAGGGGGCAAGCGUUGUCCGGAAUCAUUGGGCGUAAAGCGCGUGUAGGCGGCUCGAUCAGUCCGCUCUGAAAGCCCGGGGCUCAACCCCGGGAGGCGGGCGGAUACUGUCGAGCUAGAGUCCGGAAGGGGCGAGUGGAAUUCCUGGUGUAGCGGUGAAAUGCGCAGAUAUCAGGAGGAACACCAAUGGCGAAGGCAGCUCGCUGGGACGGUACUGACGCUGAGACGCGAAAGCGUGGGGAGCAAACAGGA